rnacentral:rRNA from 1 species
GAUGAACGCUAGCGGCAGGCUUAAUACAUGCAAGUCGUGGGGCAGCAUGAGUAGCAAUACUUGAUGGCGACCGGCAAACGGGUGAGGAACACGUACACAACCUUCCUUCAAGCGGGGAAUAGCCCAGAGAAAUUUGGAUUAAUACCCCAUAAUAUAUUUGAUAAGGCAUCUUAUUAAUAUUAAAGCUUCGGCACUUGAUGAUGGGUGUGCGGCUGAUUAGAUAGUUGGCGGGUAACGGCCCACCAAGUCUACGAUCAGUAGCUGAUGUGAGAGCAUGAUCAGCCACACGGGCACUGAGACACGGGCCCGACUCCUACGGGAGGCAGCAGUAAGGAAUAUUGGACAAUGGACGAAAGUCUGAUCCAGCCAUGCCGCGUGAAGGAUUAAGGUCCUCUGGAUUGUAAACUUCUUUAUAUGGGACGAAAAAGGGCAUUCUGUUCACUUGACGGUACCAUAUGAAUAAGCACCGGCUAACUCCGUGCCAGCA